UACGGGGGGAGCAAGCGUUGUUCGGAUUUACUGGGCGUAAAGGGCGCGUAGGGCGGUCAGCACAAGUCAGUUGUGAAAUCUCCGGGCUUAAACUCGGAAAGGUCAACUGAUACUGUGCGACUAGAGUGCAGAAGGGCAACUGGAAUUCUCGGUGGUAGCGGUGAAAUGCGUAGAUAAUCGAGAGGAACACCUGCGGCGAAGGCGGGUUGCUGGGCUGACACUGACGCUGAUGCGCGAAAGCCAGGGGAGCGAACGGG
rnacentral:rRNA from 1 species